CCUACGGGUGGCUGCAGUGGGGAAUAUUGGACAAUGGGCGAAAGCCUGAUCCAGCCAUGCCGCGUGUGUGAAGAAGGCCUUCGGGUUGUAAAACACUUUCAGUGGGGAAGAAAGCCUUGGGGCUAAUACCCUCGAGGAAGGACAUCACCCACAGAAGAAGCACCGGCUAACUCCGUGCCAGCAGCCGCGGUAAUACGGAGGGUGCGAGCGUUAAUCGGAAUUACUGGGCGUAAAGCGCGCGUAGGCGGUCUGAUAAGCCGGUUGUGAAAGCCCCGGGCUCAACCUGGGAACGGCAUCCGGAACUGUCAGGCUAGAGUGCAGGAGAGGAAGGUAGAAUUCCCGGUGUAGCGGUGAAAUGCGUAGAGAUCGGGAGGAAUACCAGUGGCGAAGGCGGCCUUCUGGACUGACACUGACGCUGAGGUGCGAAAGCGUGGGUAGCAAACAGGAUUAGAUACCCCGGUAGUC
rnacentral:rRNA from 1 species